UACGUAGGGGGCAAGCGUUGUCCGGAAUCAUUGGGCGUAAAGAGCGUGUAGGCGGCCAGAUAAGUCCGCUGUGAAAUCCCGAGGCUCAACCUCGGGUCUGCAGUCGAUACGGGCAGACUGGAGUGCGGUAGGGGAGAAUGGAAUUCCUGGUGUAGCGGUGGAAUGCGCAGAUAUCAGGAGGAACACCGAUGGCGAAGGCAGUUCUCUGGGCCGAUACUGACGCUGAGGAGCGAAAGCGUGGGGAGCGAACAGG
rnacentral:rRNA from 1 species